AUGGGGGCAUUGGGCAUUACAACAGAAGGCUUGAAAGGGAGAUACCUUGGACUACCAGCUUAUAUUGGGAAGGCGAAAUCUAAAGAUUUCCAGUAUAUAAAGGAAAAAGUGUGGAAUAAGAUACAAGGCUGGAAGGAGAGGUUACUAUCCAAAGCGGGAAAGGAAAUUCUAAUCAAGGCAACAUCUCAAACAGUCCCAGUAUACACUAUGGCCUGCUUUGACCUAACAAAAAGUUUGUGUGAUGAACUUAGUUCCAUGAUAAGUAAGUUCUGGUGGAGCCAGGUGGACAAAGUAAACAAAAUCCACUAGACUAGCUGGGAGAAGCUCUCAAAACAAAAGAGAGUGGGUGGAUUAGGAUUCAGGGACCUCCAUGCUUUCAAUAUGGCCAUGCUUGCUAAACAAGCAUGGCGACUGCUUCAGAAUCCGUCCUCACUAUGCGCCAAAGUACUACAGGCCAAAUAUCAUCCAGGGAACAGCAUGAUCGAAGCGACUCCAAAAAAGGGAAUUUCGUAUUCAUGGCGUAGUAUUUUGAAAGGCGUGCAACUACUGAAAAGAGGUAUAAUUUGGACAGUCGGAAAUGGGCAAAACAUCAAAAUCUAG
rnacentral:rRNA from 1 species